ACCUGCGGAAGGAUCAUUGUCGUGACCCUAACCAAAACAGACUGUGAACAUGUCAUCCAUGCCGCCUGGUGAAGGGUCUAGCACCCAUCUCCUGGUCCAGGGCAACUUGCUCCUUAUGGGGAAGGUUGCCCAAAAGAACCUACGGCGCCGUAUGGCGUCAAGGAAAACUAAUAUUGCUUUGCUCGGGGCCUCGUUCGGCUUGCUGGAUGUACCCCGUGCAGCGAUGCUAUGUUAAGUCACAUGACUCUCGGCAACGGAUAUCUCGGCUCUCGCAUCGAUGAAGAACGUAGCAAAAUGCGAUACCUGGUGUGAAUUGCAGAAUCCCGUGAACCAUCGAGUUUUUGAACGCAAGUUGCGCCCGAGUCCUUUUGGCCGAGGGCACGUCUGCCUGGGCGUCACGCCAAAUGACACUCCCCGCCCAUCCUGGUGUGGACGUGGUUGGUGGCCCCUCAUGCUCUCGGGCACGGUGGGCCAAAGUUGGAGCUGCUGGCGGUGCCGAUCGCAGCACUUGGUGGAUGACGGAAGUUAUUCUCGCUGCUCGAUUGAAACCGCAUGGCUAUGUAAUGGCUCGUUGGACCCAUUAACUGAAGUGCAUGCACCUCGGACCGCGACCCCAGGUCAGUCGGGACUACCCGCUGAAUUUAAGCAUAUCAAUAAGCGG
rnacentral:rRNA from 1 species